GCCGCUUCUCCAGCAGGCAACAACCCCACUCCACUGCCUCUGUUGUCAGCUCCCUUCCCCGCUCCUGCGACACAAGCGGGUUGUGGCAGGCAGCCAUGGGGCGGAGGAAGGUCACGUGAACCCUUCAUUUGGAUUUCGACGUUUUAUUUGGUUUCGUUUGGAAUAGCCAGCCGCACCCCUAUUUCAUGAACGAACCAGGGCCGGAGGAGAUCACAAAAUCGAAACGUUCAGAACAUGAGCCAUCACAGCGCGACCGCGGGGACGGAGCAUAUGUUCACCGGUGAAUCGUUCUGUGAUGAAGUGCAUCACAGAUGGUGAUAAGCGGACCCAGGGAGCCGGAGGUUUCCUUCUUUGAGAGAACUGCCGCCCAAUUUCUCAGUCUUUUCAAACCAGGACAGCUUGAACGUUGGCUGACGAAUAUGGGAAUAUGGUUCCUACAACGCUGGGACCCCAAAAGCAAAUGCGGUCCUGGGAUGCUUAAACGGGGAAAUCUCGAGUAGCAGCAAAGAGGUUAUUUUCCCUCCGUGUUUGGCCCUGGUGCUGGGAUCCCGUGUCCGGUUCUGGUGCCCACAAUUCGAGAAGGAGGUCGACAAAUUGGGGAGGGUUCAGAGAAGAGCCAGGAAAAGGAUCAGAGGGUUAGAAAUCCUGCCUUAGAGCGAGAGACUCAAGCAGCUCGAUCUAUUUAGCCUAAAGAGAAGAUUAAGGGGGUCACUUGGUCCCAGUCUAUCAGCACCUCCAUGGGGAACAAAUCUUUAAUCCCGGGCUCUUCAGUCUAGCAGGGAAAGGUCUAACAGGAGCAGCUGGAAGAUGAAGCUAGACAAAUUCAGACUGGAAAUAAGGCGAACAUUUUUAACAGUGAGGGUAAUUGACAACUGGAACAAUGGACCAAGGGUCGUGGUGGGUUCUUAAUUUUUAAAAUCAUGACUGGGUGUUUUGCUAACAGAUCGGCUCUGGGGCUUAUCCGGGGGCAGUUCCCUGGCCCGCGUUAUACGGAGGACAGAUUUGAUGAUGACAAUGGAUUCUCUGAAUUUCCAAAACCGGUCGCUCCUGAGAUCGGUGCUCAGAGAAUCAGGUUCUACUCGAAAAGAAAAUCGGUUUUGAAAUGAAGAGUCAGUUCCCACCUGAAGGAAAUCCAAGCAUCGUAUGCUGAAAAUGUCCAAAUGGAAUGUUUUGACAUCCUGGGAAAUGCUUUUUGAUUGAUUUCUAUUUCCUAAAUGAAAAUUCACCGAAAUUGACACGUUCCCGUGGGAAGGUUUGAUUUUGAAGAACUGGCACUUUCCAGUGGCAACAAACAUUCGGCUGGAAACAUUUUCACCUGUUCGACAACCGGGUGGCCAAACCCUUUCCCACUUUGAUGGGGCCAGGGCUCUGCCAGCAGAGGAUUUCUGCCUGCUCCGGUGAAUGUUACGGAUGCGAAUGGAUGCACUCCAUCUAUCCUGCAAGUCAGUAAACUCCACCCUGCUUCUGCAAUCUCCCUAUGUUUUUACAAUUCCAUUUAAGUGACCAAUCACCGUGUCCCCUGCUCGAAACCAGACCAAGGAUACGGUACCGGCCUCGAGUUUGUGUGCUUGGACAACACAU